AGUAAUCGUAGGUCAGCAUACUACGGUGAAUACGUUCCCGGGCCUUGUACACACCGCCCGUCAAACCAUGAGAGUUGGCAACACCCGAAGUCGGUAGUCUAACCGCAAGGAGGACGCCGCCGAAGGUGGGGUUGAUGAUUAGGGUUAAGUCGUAACAAGGUAAC
rnacentral:rRNA from 1 species